rnacentral:lncRNA from 1 species
AUAUCAGUCCUGUUUAUUCGCAAAUUACUACAAAUACUCCCAGGAAAAUAGAUACCUACUACACUCACCAAGAUCAAGGAGGUGAAUCCUGACAUUCGGAAGAAGAAAUCAUUAGGAGAAAAUACGGGUCUUUGUACUUGAAAGUCUUAUACUUUGAGAUUUUAUAAACAAGUCCUGAAAUAGAAGCAAGUUAUGUUAGAGAUUGAAGUGAGGAGUGACCUCCUUCUUGACAUCACCCAUUGAAGACAAGUGCUCUUCACCAUUUUCCAGGAACUUGUUCAACCCAAAUCAAAAGAGUAGAAACAGCCCAGAAAUAUUACUGAUAUGGAAUUAUUUACAGUAAUCUUGAGGAUGGCUAGAGAAUUCUCCAGUGGUUGAAAAUAGGAGGUCUAUUACAGAGCUUAAAACUGGUGUUACUACACUCUUCACUGAUAAAAGCACAGGUAUGAGGUCCUUGAUCAUCAGAAGGGUUUGAGCUUUAUGUCAUCCUCUGCGCAAUAGAAGUGUUAACACUAGAGGUCUGGUUGUUCAGCGGGUGUUAGAAAAUGGGGUUGAAGAUGUAGACUAAGGGCUAAAAUGUGAAGGGCCUUAUAGGUCACGAUAAAGAAUUUGAGUUUUAUCUUGUUAUGGAGCUAUCAGAGUAGAAUUUCAGUAGGAUGCCCAUGUUAUCUGAUUCAUAAUCAUUUAGGAUACUGUGUGGAAAUUCCUCUCAGAGAAAGAUGGAAGUAGGGUGACAAGUUAUAGCAGCUCUGGUGAUUGACAACCAUAGAUCUAUAUAGGACUAUAGCAGUGGAAAGUAAGAAGAGUUGGGAUUCAAAAGAAAAAUAAAAA